CGAGCAGACCGGACGGCUGCGCAUCCGGCAGGAUGUGAGGAAAGUCCGAGCUCCCGAGGGCAGGACGCCGGGUAAUACCCGGUGGAGGCGACUCCAAGGAAAGUGCAACAGAAAUAUACCGCAGCCGGUCUUUACGGCUGUAAGGUUGGAAAGGCGAGGUAAGAGCUCACCGGUCCGGCGGCGACGCCGGAUGCUAUGUAAACCCCGUCCGGAGCAAGAUUGGAAUGAAGAGAUUCAAUAGCGGCCCGCUAACUCUUCCGUAAUCGCACGAACCAGGCAGGCAACUCCUGGUCCAGAUAGAUGGCCGUCAAGACAGAACUCGGCUUACAGGUCUGACUCGUUUU
rnacentral:RNase_P_RNA from 1 species